AUUGAACGCUGGCGGCAGGCCUAACACAUGCAAGUCGAACGGUAACAGGAAGAAGCUUGCUUCUUUGCUGACGAGUGGCGGACGGGUGAGUAAUGUCUGGGAAACUGCCUGAUGGAGGGGGAUAACUACUGGAAACGGUAGCUAAUACCGCAUAACGUCGCAAGACCAAAGAGGGGGACCUUCGGGCCUCUUGCCAUCGGAUGUGCCCAGAUGGGAUUAGCUAGUAGGUGGGGUAACGGCUCACCUAGGCGACGAUCCCUAGCUGGUCUGAGAGGAUGACACGCCACACUGGAACUGAGACACGGUCCAGACUCCUACGGGAGGCAGCAGUGGGGAAUAUUGCACAAUGGGCGCAAGCCUGAUGCAGCCAUGCCGCGUGUAUGAAGAAGGCCUUCGGGUUGUAAAGUACUUUCAGCGGGGAGGAAGGGAGUAAAGUUAAUACCUUUGCUCAUUGACGUUACCCGCAGAAGAAGCACCGGCUAACUCCGUG
rnacentral:rRNA from 1 species